ACGAACGCUGGCGGCGUGCCUAAUACCUGCAAGUCGAGCGGACGGAUGGGAGCUUGCUCCCAGACCGUCAGCGGCGGACGGGUGAGUAACACGUGGGCAACCUGCCUGUAAGACUGGGAUAACUCCGGGAAACCGGGGCUAAUACCGGAUAACUCUUUCCCUCACAUGAGGGAAAGCUGAAAGAUGGCAUCUCGCUAUCACUUACAGAUGGGCCCGCGGCGCAUUAGCUAGUUGGUGAGGUAACGGCUCACCAAGGCGACGAUGCGUAGCCGACCUGAGAGGGUGAUCGGCCACACUGGGACUGAGACACGGCCCAGACUCCUACGGGAGGCAGCAGUAGGGAAUCUUCCGCAAUGGACGAAAGUCUGACGGAGCAACGCCGCGUGAGUGAUGAAGGUUUUCGGAUCGUAAAACUCUGUUGUCAGGGAAGAACAAGUACCGGAGUAACUGCCGGUACCUUGACGGUACCUGACCAGAAAGCCACGGCUAACUACGUG
rnacentral:rRNA from 1 species